AGUGAACGCUGGCGGUAGGCCUAACACAUGCAAGUCGAACGGCAGCACAGUAAGAGCUUGCUCUUACGGGUGGCGAGUGGCGGACGGGUGAGGAAUACAUCGGAAUCUACUUUUUCGUGGGGGAUAACGUAGGGAAACUUACGCUAAUACCGCAUACGACCUACGGGUGAAAGCAGGGGAUCUUCGGACCUUGCGCGAUUGAAUGAGCCGAUGUCGGAUUAGCUAGUUGGCGGGGUAAAGGCCCACCAAGGCGACGAUCCGUAGCUGGUCUGAGAGGAGGAUCAGCCACACUGGAACUGAGACACGUUCCGGACUCCUACGGGAGGCAGCAGUGGGAAAUAUUGGACAUUGGGCGCAAGCCUAAUCCAGCCAUACCGCGUGGGUAAAGAAGGCCUUCGGGUUGUAAGCCCUUUUGUUGGGAAAGAAAAGCAGCAGGUUAAUACCCCGCUGUUCUGACGGUACCCAAAGAAUAAGCACCGGCUAACUUCGUG
rnacentral:rRNA from 1 species